rnacentral:sRNA from 1 species
AUAUCGCACGUGUCGUGUAGGUGAGAACCUGCGCUCAGGUUCGAGCCGAGCGAAGCGAGACAGCAACGCGUUAGCGUUGACCCCAAAGGCCGAUUCAUCCUGCACGGUUCGCCA